rnacentral:rRNA from 1 species
GCAGCAGGCGCGAAAACUUUACAAUGCUGGAAACAGCGAUAAGGGGACCUCGAGUGUCAGGUUACAAAUCUGGCUGUCGUGAUGCCUAAAAAGCAUUGCAUAGCAAGGGCCGGGCAAGACCGGUGCCAGCCGCCGCGGUAACACCGGCGGCUCGAGUGGUAACCGUUAUUAUUGGGUCUAAAGGGUCUGUAGCCGGCCGGAUAAGUCCCUUGGGAAAUCUGGCAGCUUAACUGUCAGGCUUUCAGGAGAUACUGUCUGGCUCGAGGCCGGGAGAGGUGAGAGGUACUUCAGGGGUAGGGGUGAAAUCCUGUAAUCC